UAAGGAAUAUUGGACAAUGGGCGCAAGCCUGAUCCAGCCAUGCCGCGUGAAGGAUGAAGGCCCUAUGGGUCGUAAACUUCUUUUAUACGGGAAAAAACCCCCCGAUGCGUCGGGGGUUGAUGGUACUGUAAGAAUAAGGGUCGGCUAACUUCGUGCCAGCAGCCGCGGUAAUACGAAGGACCCAAGCGUUAUCCGGAUUUAUUGGGUUUAAAGGGUGCGUAGGCGGAUUAAUAAGUCAGUGGUGAAAGCCUGAUGCUUAACAUCAGAAUUGCCAUUGAUACUGUUAGUCUUGAGUAUGGUUGAGGUGGGCGGAAUGUGUCAUGUAGCGGUGAAAUGCUUAGAUAUGACACAGAACACCAAUUGCGAAGGCAGCUCGCUAAACCAUAACUGACGCUGAGGCACGAAAGCGUGGGGAGCAAACAGG
rnacentral:rRNA from 1 species